UCUGGCUCAGGAUGAACGCUGGCGGCGUGCUUAACACAUGCAAGUCGAACGGUGAAGCCUGCUAUUAUAGUGGGUGGAUCAGUGGCGGACUGGUGAGUAACACGUAGGUGACCUGCCCCAAAGAGGAGAAUAACUUGACGAAAGUGAAGCUAAUACUCCAUGUGGUCAAUCAUUCGGUUGAUUGAUUAAAGCUAAGGCGCUUUGGGAGGGGCUUGCGGCCCAUCAGCUAGUUGGUAGGGUAAAGGCCUACCAAGGCGAAGACGGGUAGCUGGUCUGAGAGGACGAUCAGCCACAAUGGCACUGAAACACGGGCCAUACUCCUACGGGAGGCAGCAGUGAGGAAUAUUGCACAAUCGACGCAAGUCGGAUGCAGCAACGCCGCGUGGACGAUGAAGGCCUUCGGGUUGUAAAGUCCUUUUAAGAGGGACGAGGAAGGACGGUACCUCUUGAAUAAGUCUCGGCUAACUACGUGCCAGCAGCCGCGGUAACACGUAGGAGGCGAGCGUUAUCCGGAUUUAUUGGGCGUAAAGCGCAUGCAGGUGGCUAGGUAAGUCGGGUGUGAAAGCCCCGGACUUAAUCCGGGGAGGUCAUUCGAUACUGCUUGGCUUGAGAGCGGGAGAGGGAAGUGGAAUUCUCGGUGUAGUGGUGAUAUGCGUAGAUAUCGAGAGGAACACCAGUGGCGAAGGCGGCUUCCUGGCCCGUAUCUGACACUAAGAUGCGAAAGCGUGGGUAGCAAACGGACUUAGAUACUCCGGUAGUCCACGCUGUAAACGAUGGGUACUAGGUGUAGGGGGUGUAAAACUCUCUGUGCCAUAGUUAACGCACUAAGUACCCCGCCUGGGGACUACGGUCGCAAGGCUAAAACUCAAAGGAAUUGACGGGGGCCCGCACAAGCAGCGGAGCGUGUGG
rnacentral:rRNA from 1 species